GACUUCGAAUUUCAAUCUGAAUCAAAUAACUAAAUUCAAUAUCUCAAGCUCAACUAGGUUCUCUUCCUAAAACCUCACCAAAUCACUCUCUAACAAAAUGAUUUCCAUUUAGCACAAUUAAGUAAAACGCCUCCUUCCCUAAAAAAUCUCAAUUCCAUGAUCCUCGUGUAUAAAUAGCAAUGGCCUGACUAACGAAGCACAGAACCUGUUCAUCAAAAUGCCUCAAUGAAAU
rnacentral:misc_RNA from 1 species